rnacentral:rRNA from 1 species
GUAGGUGGCAAGCGUUGUCCGGAAUUAUUGGGGCGGUAAAAGCGCGCGCAGGGCGGUUCUUUAAGUCUGAUGUGAAAGCCCACGGCUCAACCGUGGAGGGUCAUUGGAAACUGGAGAACUUGAGUACAGAAGAGGAAAGCGGAAUUCCACGUGUAGCGGUGAAAUGCGUAGAGAUGUGGAGGAACACCAGUGGCGAAGGCGGCUUUCUGGUCUGUAACUGACGCUGAGGCGCGAAAGCGUGGGGAGCAAACAGGAUUAGAUACCCUGGUAGUCCACGCCGUAAACGAUGAGUGCUAAGUGUUAGGGGGUUUCCGCCCCUUAGUGCUGCAGCUAACGCAUUAAGCACUCCGCCUGGGGAGUACGACCGCAAGGUUG